AGAUUGAACGCUGGCGGCAUGCUUUACACAUGCAAGUCGAACGGGCGUGUUGGGGCAACCGUGGCAGUCAGUGGCGGACGGGUGAGUAAUGCAUCGGAACGUGUCCCGUAGUGGGGGAUAACCCGGCGAAAGCCGGACUAAUACCGCAUAUGCUCUACGGAGGAAAGCGGGGGACCUGAAAGGGCCUCGCGCUAUGGGAGCGGCCGAUGUCCGAUUAGCUUGUUGGUGGGGUAAUGGCCUACCAAGGCGACGAUCGGUAGCUGGUCUGAGAGGAUGAUCAGCCACACUGGGACUGAGACACGGCCCAGACUCCUACGGGAGGCAGCAGGUGGGAAUUUGGACAAGUGGGGCAACCGUGAUACCAGCCAUCGCCGCGUGCGGGAAGAACGGCCGUUCGGGUUCGUAAACCGGUACGUUUUAGGUUACGGGAAAGGAAAGGCGACGGACGAACGUAACCCGUGUUCUUGGACGGUACCGG
rnacentral:rRNA from 1 species